AUUGAACGCUGGCGGCAGGCCUAACACAUGCAAGUCGAACGAGUGGCGGACGGGUGAGUAAUGUCUGGGAAACUGCCUGAUGGAGGGGGAUAACUACGGGAAACGGUAGCUAAUACCGCAUACCAUCGGAUGAGCCCAGAUGGGAUUAGCUAGUAGGUGAGGUAAAGGCUCACCUAGGCGACGCUCCCUAGCUGGUCUGAGAGGAUGACCAGCCACACUGGAACUGAGACACGGCCCAGACGCCUAAGGGAGGCAGCAGUGGGGAAUAUUGCACAAUGGGGGCAAGCCUGAUGCAGCCAUGCCGCGUGUAUGAAGAAGGCCUUCGGGUUGUAAAGUACUUUCAGCAGGGAGGCGUUACCCACAGAAGAAGCACCGGCUAACUCCGUGCCAGCAGCCGCGGUAAUAC
rnacentral:rRNA from 1 species